rnacentral:rRNA from 1 species
UGGGGAAUCUUGCGCAAUGGGCGAAAGCCUGACGCAGCAACGCCGCGUGGGGGAUGACGGCUUUCGGGUUGUAAACCCCUUUCAGCAGGGACGAAAAUGACGGUACCUGCAGAAGAAGCCCCGGCCAACUACGUGCCAGCAGCCGCGGUAAUACGGAGGGGGCAAGCGUUGUUCGGAUUUACUGGGCGUAAAGGGCGCGUAGGCGGACGAUCAAGUCAGAGGUGAAAGGCCCGGGCUCAACCUGGGACGUGCCUUUGAAACUGAUUGUCUUGAGUGCGGAAGAGGGUGACGGAAUUCCCAGUGUAGAGGUGAAAUUCGUAGAUAUUGGGAAGAACACCGGUGGCGAAGGCGGUCACCUGGUCCGCAACUGACGCUGAGGCGCGAAAGCGUGGGGAGCAAACAGGAUUAGAUACCCGGGUAGUCC